rnacentral:rRNA from 1 species
CGACUGCUAAGACCCGAUGUGCCGAGAGGUGAAAUAUUUAUAGCCUGAAGAUGAGCUCGCGUCUGAUUAGCUAGUUGGUGGGGUAAGAGCCCACCAAGGCGACGAUCAGUAGCUGGUCUGAGAGGAUGAUCAGCCACACUGGGACUGAGACACGGCCCAGACUCCUACGGGAGGCAGCAGUGGGGAAUUUUCCGCAAUGGGCGAAAGCCUGACGGAGCAAGACCGCGUGAGGGAGGAAGGUCUGUGGAUUGUAAACCUCUUUUCUCAAGGAAGAAGAUCUGACGGUACUUGAGGAAUCAGCAUCGGCUAACUCCGUGCCAGCAGCCGCGGUAAUACGGAGGAUGCAAGCGUUAUCCGGAAUUAUUGGGCGUAAAGCGUCCGUAGGUGGUUUUACAAGUCAGUUGUUAAAGCGUGGAGCUCAACUCCAUAAAGGCAAUUGAAACUGUGAGACUAGAGUUUGGUAGGGGUAAGGGGAAUUCCCAGUGUAGCGGUGAAAUGCGUAGAUAUUGGGAAGAACACCGGUGGCGAAA